UACGGAGGGAGCUAGCGUUGUUCGGAAUUACUGGGCGUAAAGCGCACGUAGGCGGCUCAGCAAGUCAGGGGUGAAAGCCCGGAGCUCAACUCCGGAACUGCCUUUAAGACUGCAUCGCUUGAACGUCGGAGAGGUAAGUGGAAUUCCGAGUGUAGAGGUGAAAUUCGUAGAUAUUCGGAAGAACACCAGUGGCGAAGGCGACUUACUGGACGACUGUUGACGCUGAGGUGCGAAAGCGUGGGGAGCAAACAGG
rnacentral:rRNA from 1 species